rnacentral:rRNA from 1 species
CGCAUCUGUGCAUGCAGCAUAUCAAUAAGCGGAGGAAAAGAAACUAACAAGGAUUCCCUCAGUAACGGCGAGUGAAGCGGGAAGAGCUCAAAUUUGAAAUCUUGAAAGGUCACCUUUCACGAAUUGUAGUUUAAAGAAGUGUUUUCUGUUACGAUCGUAAUAUAAGUUCUUUGGAAUAGGACAUCACAGAGGGUGAGAAUCCCGUCUAUGAUUGCGAUUUGUAGCUUUGUGAUACACUUUCAAAGAGUCGGGUUGUUUGGGAAUGCAGCCCAAAACGGGAGGUAAAUUUCUUCUAAGGCUAAAUAUUGGCGAGAGACCGAUAGCGAACAAGUACCGUGAGGGAAAGAUGAAAAGAACUUUGAAAAGAGAGUUAAAUAGUACGUGAAAUUGUCAAAAGGGAAGCGUUUAACACCAGUGUUGUUUUCUGAAAAUCAACCUCUGUUAGCUUUAUGCAUGUUUGUUUAGACCUAAUCAGCUAUCUUUCAUGUUCUAUUGUUUGCAGUGGUGCACUUUUCAGUAUUACAGGUCAACAUCAGUUUUUUUUACCGUAAAAAAGUUAAAGAAAGGUAGCUCAUGGCUCCGGUCGUGAGUGUUAUAGUCUUUUUCCUAUGCGGUAGGAGAGACUGAGGUCUGCAGUGUAGGCUAUUUGGCUAGAUACUCAGGUGCUAUGUGAUACCAUUUCAUAAACAACUUGUUGAUUAUGUUUUGUCUAUUGCAUACUCGCUUGUACUAUCAUACCUACGCUUAGGAUGUUGACGAUCAGCUGAGCGCG